rnacentral:rRNA from 1 species
AGUGAACGCUGGCGGUAGGCCUAACACAUGCAAGUCGAACGGCAGCACAGUAAGAGCUUGCUCUUACGGGUGGCGAGUGGCGGACGGGUGAGGAAUACAUCGGAAUCUACUUUUUCGUGGGGGAUAACGUAGGGAAACUUACGCUAAUACCGCAUACGACCUACGGGUGAAAGCAGGGGAUCUUCGGACCUUGCGCGAUUGAAUGAGCCGAUGUCGGAUUAGCUAGUUGGGGGGGUAAAGGCCCACCAAGGCGACGAUCCGUAGCUGGUCUGAGAGGAUGGUCAGCCACACUGGAACUUGGACACGGUCCAGACUCCUACGGGAGGCCGCAGUGGGGAAUAUUGGACAAUGGGCGGAAGCCUGAUCCAGCCAUACCGCGUGGGUGAAGAAGGCCUUCGGGUUGUAAAGCCCUUUUGUUGGGAAAGAAAAGCAGCAGGUUAAUACCCCGCUGUUCUGACGGUACCCAAAGAAUAAGCACCGGCUAACUUCGUG